rnacentral:sRNA from 1 species
UUAUAAACCCGAUUGCAAUGAAAAGCCCGCAUCCCGAUUUUUUCAAUCGGGAGAGGACUUGUAAUGCAAAGCGGGACUGAAG